rnacentral:piRNA from 2 species
UAAACAAAAGAUUGUGAAGCCUG